UACGGAGGGUGCAAGCGUUAUCCGGAUUUACUGGGUUUAAAGGGUGUGUAGGCGGACUUUUAAGUCCGUGGUGAAAUCUCCGGGCUCAACCCGGAAACUGCCAUGGAUACUAUUGGUCUUGAAUGUUGUGGAGGUGGGCGGAACGGGUCAUGUAGCGGUGAAAUGCUUAGAGAUGACCCGGAACACCGAUUGCGAAGGCAGCCCACUACGCAACUAGUGACGCUGAGGCACGAAAGCGUGGGGAGCAAACGGG
rnacentral:rRNA from 1 species